AAGCACCUAAGCAUAUAGAAUCUAUGCUUUCUCUAAAAAUGAUUUGGUUGCAAUCUAUACGUAUAUAUAUGCAUGCAUUGCCUAGAUAUUAAUAUUGUCGGUUUAUGGUGUAUGGGUAGAACCUAUUUAUGCAUUUAGUUCUUGUGAUAUUGCUGUCCUUAUACCCUAUUACCACUGGUUGGAAUUACUUGGGAUGUCUUAUUCAUUAAUGCUUAGCCAUGCUUAGUGCUAAUAGAACUAUAGGGAUGGACAAUGCUAUUAAUUGUGGUAUAUAGACAACUUGCAUUUUUAGGCAUAAAACUUGAGCACUUACACUAAAUAAUGGUUGAUGAAAUAUGUUGGACUUGGACGGGUGAUAGGGCGAUGAUGGGAGGUUGGUUUCCCCUGAUGCAAGUUGCCCCGUCUAGGUCGUUAAGGAUCGAACAUUUUGACAUCUAAUCAAGCAUCCUACGUAUUUUCCACAUGCCUUAUUUGGGAUCGGCUUGUUCUUACUAGUUCUACUGUGAUAAUUUAUACCACGUUGGAGAGUCGUGAGGCAGGUAGCCUUUGGAGGGCCUCAGGUGCCUAGGUUUGGCCGGGGGUGUCUCCCGCGUGGCGCGCCCGCCUUGGUGACAUCACGCACGCACGUGACUGAGUCGUCGGGAACCCCAGCAUGGUAUAGGUGGUUGGGUGGGGCUAAGAAAGGGCAUGUAAUGAGCUUGAAUCAAUUGUGUACCGCACUCGACGGGGUGUGUAGCAUUUGAUCUUUGUUCAUUUCGUGUGGGUCCAGUUGUACACCUCUGAUCAGAGUAUAAUCUAUUCGAAUAGACGCGUCCUCGGUUAUGGACAAUGCUUGAUGUGUUAGUCAGUUAUGAUUAGCAUCAAAUGUGGAUUAUUAUAGAUGGGAUUAUGUUUGAUGGUGGUGUUGGCAUGUUGUGCCAUGUUGGUAUGGACUUUGGUAGUCCAUGGUUGAUGAUGAGAGCGCCGUUUGGGCUCAUUUGCUUAUACAUUUCAGAAUUAUAUACUUGCUGUCCAUAAAUUAAUAUGAUGCUAGAUUUACUUGUCCUUGCUUAUUUUACUCAUUAAUUGCUCAAUAAAAUUAGCUUUAUACAAAUGUUCAACCUAGAGACCCACUAUAGGCUAAAAAAGCUUGCAUACUUCUCUCUUCCUUAUGUAUAUAUAAUUUUGGGUAAGACUUGCGAGUACAAUCUUGUACUUAACCCGGUGUCUGCAAUUUCAGGAGAGGAUUCCGAUUAUGAGUUAUGCUUCUUAUGUGGUCAUUGCUCUGCCGAGGGCGGCGAGGGCAAUGAGUGAUCUCUUGCAGCUUGGCUCUUGCCCGGUUGGUUUGCCCUACUGGGGUUGUGGCACCACCGGUUUUAUCUUUUGCUUAUGAACUCUAUUUGAGACUUCCGCUGCUAUAUUUAUGUGUUGUAUGUUGGGACCUCGGACCCUAUUAUGUGUCAUGUACCUCGUUGCACUUUAACCCUAUUAUGGUACUUGCUAUGUUUAUUAAUUGCUUGAGAUGAAAGUGUGAGGCUAGUCGCAUACCUGGGGACUAGCUAAGCAUGAGUAAUGGGUUUUGAUCGCUUGAGAUAAUCGGGGAUAGUGCUUUGGAUCGAGUCACUGGGGUAUGCUUUUGGUCGCCACCUUCGAGUGGUUGACGGGCAUAUGACGGAGUGGACUGGCAAGCUAUCUUACGGUUAUGUCUUGCGCUCACUACUCGACAUUCCGGUUAUUAUAACAGAAGGUUGUCAACCGCGAUCAUGGACACAUUGAGGACGAGUGGCUAUUUAUGAGUGUAUGGAACCCACUUCUCCAAUAGUAUGUGGUGGUCGCGUUGGACACUGGAUGGUAUAAUACUCGGGGUGUCCACAACGGUUGGUAUCAUAGCAAUGCCGACUGUAGGCUAGAGCUAAGUUGGCAAUUUGAAAAUGAUUUGCAAAAUAUUUAACUUGAGUCGAUUGUGAAAAUCUUAGUAUGUGUGAAUCAUUUUUACUCCUCAUCUCAUUCUAGUGUUCUUUCUCACCUUAUUCUCAGAUUUUCCACUCAUCUUGGUCUAAUUUGGUUGACAAAAUAAAUUUAUUACUUCUCCCAUUCAAAUAUUAGACCGAUAAUGCACCCGGUAAGUUGAGGGAAUUAAACUUUAUUCUCAGUUUGUAAGUACAAUUAAAAUGUGCAAUAGUCACUCUAAAAUGGUGCCUUGCUGUUCCUCAUGUUGCUCUUAGUCUCCCCAAAAUUUUUGACAAAUUAUGAACAUGUUUUAAACCUCCAAAAUGUCAAAUAGCCAAAUCUGGAAUUUCUGGAACAGUCUGUAAUCAAAUAAUCACUAUUUUGCUGUCAAAAUUUUUCUGGAGCUAGGCAACUACUCCAGGAACAACCACAAAAAUGUUCAGAAUUUUAUCACUUCUUUAGCCCUCUCUAAAAAUUCGUAAAGUGGCUGCUGUUCGGCAACCUGAGAAAUUUCAGAACCUUGUUUCGGAAGAAGUAAAAUAUACCAACUUAAAAAUUCGACCAAAUAUAUUGCAAAAGUGUACUCCCAGCUGAGAGACGCUAGAUAGAAAUGUGUCAUAUAGCAGUAGUGGCCAAGUUGCAGUGUUGGUCUAUUUGAAUUUUCAUGUUCCGACGAUUGAUACGCUUUUGGCCCGCUAUGUUGAUCGCAAUUGGAAAACUAUUUUGGUUUAUUGCUUCUUGUUCGAGCUUUAGUAUAGGAUGAGCUCGAUUGAUUCUUAAUGCUUCUUAUUUGGUUGCAUCAUAUCAUGCUAACAUAACUUAUCGCAUUUGUAUAUAAAUGAAUUGUUCAUUUUUAUUGUGCAUUGAAACUAAUUAUGCAAAGAUAGACUUAGCUUCGCAUGCAUUUGUAUUGUGCAUUCAUAUUAAGUCGGUAACCUAAACUUAGUUUAUCAUGUAUGAUGCGUGCUAACUUUCAGGCCAUUAUCAAUCCUUAGUUGCUCCCAUCACUAAUUAUGUUUAAUCUCAUAUCCAUAGGAUGACUCAUCCCAGCACUCGCUCUCAAUCCCAUGAUGCUCCGGAGGGUUCCCGAAGCCGUGGUGAUGAACCGCCACCUUGUCCUACCAUGGCUGAGGUUCUUAUGGUCGUGGAGUGCAACCGUGUGGCUCGAAACACCGUCCUUCAGCAAAUCACAGCAAGUGCAGCCGCUACCGCUGCCCACAUUGCCCAAGGUGCAGGCGGUGGUGGACACCAUGCCGCCGGGGGACUCGCUGAAUUUCAUCAUACUCAACCUCCGGUGUUCACUCGCUCCAAUGAUCCACUUGAUUGUCGCGCCCGGAAAAAUACCUUUUCCAGAACGCUAGUGUAUUAAUCCCCGUCCCAGGAAAAGCUGGGGUACACCACACAAACAUGAUAUAAAAGACACAUCUUUAUUAUAUCGAUAAUAUUUACAUUAUUACAAAGGCACUUCAGGCCUAUGGCUCCAUCUUCACAGGCGCUCAACUGGGGUAUAAGCCAUGGCUCCACCUAAACUUCUUCUCCAAAGCUUUACUGAAGGGGGUGAAAGAUAGAGCAAGAAUGAGUACAACCACAGUACUCAGCAAGUCACACCGGGAGAUGCAUGAUUAAUGCAAGGGAGUACAAAGGGUGAUAAUAUAGGGGUUAAGUUUUACAAUAAACAGCAUUUAAGAGUCACUUAGUUGCCCAAAGCUAUUUUAUAAAGAUGAUCCUAGAGCUACACAGUAUUAUUAAUCAAGGCCGUGAGCCCACACGAACCUGCCUUAACCCAAGGCCAACGAUAAUUCAGACCGAACUGGCAACCCGACUUGGGUCCUAGCUCAUCCCAAGCCAACCCAGGCCAACCAUUCCACAUUUUAGUUGUUAAGCAAGUUUUAAGAAUUAAACCACUAACUUGGGUACAUUACUAGGCUUGCCCAUAACCGAGGGCGCGGCUAUUCGAAUAGAUUAUGCUCUGAUUAGAGGUGUACAUCUUUACCCACAAGACACAUCUUUACUCUGCAUUCGACGGCCGUGGAACCCGUCAUAAAGGAUGUGACAUAACCCCUUUACCCAUCCUAGCCAUGACAAAAGCACCGACCCAACCUCGCCUACAGCCAGAAUCCCGAGACAGGUAGGUACGAUUGAGCCCCUAGCAGCAGGACACCGGCCCUGUGUCAUAACAUCUCGACUACCGAGCCGCAGCCCGUGUAGCCUUCAUUUGCCCUAGAGAUGUCCAUCGAGCCCCGACUUCGUCCAUCUCCAUCCAUGUACUCUUUCCAGGACUAGACUGAGCACCGAGUUAAGCCUUACCCAUUAGACAUGUGGUUAGUACGGUAGUGCUUUGCAACAUAGGCCCGAAGACCGGUCCUUAUAGUGGCCGAGGUGCUACUAGAAAAACCAUGUACCUCGAGCCCAGCCUAAAACCAUUUUGGGAGUUUUGAAUAGAGGGGGGAGGUGUGUGUUCAAUUCCAUCACAAGCCAACCAUUCCACAGUGUCCAAAUGAUAUGAGAACUCCCAAAGUCUAAAGUUAUAAAACCACCUAGUGUUGCCUAAUUAAUCAGCGAAGCAUCUACCUAAAUUCAUACUAGUGGAACCGUUAAUAGAGUACCCACUAGUUGGGGUUUUGUUUAUCCUAGGGUGAACAAGGUAAUAAUAACAAUAGCAAUAAUAAUGUCAUAACAAAGGUAAAUAGGCAUGGCUAAAUAAAACAGUGAUAACGCGGGAAUUUAAGUAAAGCGGUAAUGCAAUAAUUUAAAUCAAAAUAAUUUUAUAAACUGGGAUUCAAUAUGCUCAAGGGUGAUGCGACUUGCCUUGCUUACAGAGAACGGCCUUCCGAACCUUCGACGACGACCGUGAACCACGCUUCGGGAACCUCCGGAACGACAGAAGCUACGUGAAGCACACAAGCAAAACUACAAGCCUAUGAAGAAGCAAUAACAAUACAUAAAAAGAAAGCACGUGGUUCUUUAGGUUAUAACAAACAUUACGAGACUUGAACAGGUCGAUUCAGAGCUCGUAUGACCAAUAUUUGGUCAUCAAGUUUAAUGUUGUCACGUGGAGAUUUACGGAUUAUUGUAAUUAGGCUUUGCAACUAUAAAACAUGUGUAAGCACUAGCCUGGAAAAGACAGGAAGGCUGCGCCGUUGACAUGCGGACCCCACAUGUCAACCUAAGGGACCACGGUGGACCGGGUACACAGAGACGGUCCACGGGUCGACGGAAGCGGACCCCGUGUGUCAACCGAGGCGAGUGGCCGGCAAACGGACUCUACCAGACACCACGCGGCUGCACACGUGGAAACCACGCGGCUACCGAGCAGGCACACAAACACGGUCACCACACGCACCCACGAAUGACUACAGACACCGGUACACGGGUACCGGGGUCGACAACCGCACAACGGGCACGGGGCGACACCGAAAGGACGAGGAUGGGGCAGCGAGAGGAGGCACCCUUACCACCACGCGAAAAGGCGCGGCACGACGACGACGAAUGGGCACGGCGGAGACGGCUCGGGGACGAUGGAGGCGAACGACUUCGGCGGCGAUCCUUGGACGAAGGCGAGACGCGGCCAGCACGAGGCUUGACGACGUGGAGCCGAGGACGAAGACGACGACGGGGCUGCAGCAGCUCGCUUGACGAACCACUGGCGGCAAACGCAAUUGGCUUGACGGAGGGACGAAUGCCACGACGACCGGGAACGACGGGAGGACGACGACCGGAACCGGCGAGGAGGCGAUGAGGGCAGCCGGCAGCAGCUACACGGAUGCGAGGACGGCGCGGAACACGCCGCUGUGAUGACGAUGAUGGUGGCGGCGCAGCAAGACGAUGAGCUGGGUGACCGACGGGACGUCGACGACGAGGAUGAACGGAGACGACGACGAUGGACCGCGGAGGGGUUUGGAUGGAGGGGAGGCGAUGCCAAGGAAGAUGUCGCCGGCUCGCCGCUGUGAUUCCGGAGGUGGUGGUGGCGCGGCCGACGGUGCACGUGUGGAGGAAGGGCCGACCGGGGAAAUUCCGGCGAGGCGGAUGGAGAGGCCGGCGUGGCACGGCGGUGUUCCGGCGAAAUUCGGGCGACGUCGUGGCCUAGCCGAGGAAGAGGACGGAGUUCCGGUGCCGGGAGAGGUGGUGGCGACAACGGCCGACGCACAGGAGACGCGGCAGAGGCGGAACAGUGGCAGCAACGCCACUGUUGCCGGCGAGGAUGCACUUCCGGAGGUCUCCGCGGGAAACGGAGAGCAUGCCGGGGAAGGGGAGGCGACUGCGACGCCGGGGGAGGCGAUGGCACGGCCGGCCGGCUAGCUGACGCGGCGGCAGGGGCGGUUGGAGUCGGCCGGUGCUAGGGAGUGAGAAGGAGGCGGCGUGGAGGUGGCUAAAGACUCGGAAGGGACCAAAAUGUAACGAGGGGAGGAUGAGGACUUCGUUUUAUAGGGCAAGGAGGGAGUGCCAGUCACGGGAGAGGUCAAAGAAGGGGGAUUAAAUCCCGGCGAUUGGGGAUGGGAUUAAAUGGGGAAAGUUAGGGGAACUAGAGAGGAAGGGAUGUGGAUUCCAUUUCUCUAACCAAUUUGAAUUAAUCCGGCAUGAAUGGAGCGGAUUCGGGGGAGGAAUUGGUGCAAGGGUUAAUGGGAGAGAGGAGAGAGAGGAGCCGGCUGGGAGGUAGAAGACGACCGGGUGGGUGGACCCAUUGGUCCGGCGCGAGGCGCGCACGUGCGCCGCACGUGCAGAGGGGCGCGAGGGAGAGGAGGGAGGUGGCCUGGGGCGGCAGGUCGGCUGGGCCGGGAUAGGGUAGGGGCGGCCCAAGCGGAAGAGGAGGGAAGAGGUGGGCCGGGAGGAGGAGGGGAGGCCUGGGAUAGAUAGUGUGGAGAUUAUGGGUACCCCAUACCCACACGGCAUGGUUAUCCGACUAGUUAUAGGGGAUAACUUAUAUAUAUGGAACAUGUAACAGAUCAUGACUUGGGUGUUACGUUUCCUUGUAUAUUACGGAACGGCCCAAAGUCCUGGUUUGAUAAUAUUGUAAAGUAGAUUUAGGAAACCGAUACCGUAUUGGUUAAGGUUUCUAUCUUGUAAUCCUGCCCCUUAUCCUAUAUAAGGUGGGCAGGAGGCCCUCUAGGGGGCAUAUGAGACAACUAGAUCAUCAGAUCGAUACUACACUCGGCAGAUUCAAAUCCCCAAACAGGAGUAGGGUAUUACCUCUCAUUGGGAGGGCCUGAACCUAUCUAAAUCCUUGUCUCUGCAUCCAUCCACUUUUAGGUCUCGUGCGCUACCCCCUUUUAUUAUUGCCGAAUUCAUGUUUCGACAGUUGGCGCGCCAGGUAGGGGUGCGUCGAGUUUCCUAUCGAGAAAUGCGAUGGAAUCAACUCCAUGAGUCGCCGGCUUCGUCUUCGCUACGGGAUUGUCACUUCCUCGUCGCCGACAACUUCGACAAGCUCUCAUUCUCUGACUUGGAUUCAAACCAGUCAGGAGAGAUUCAAUCUAACUAAGAAGGAGAUGCCACUUUUAGGAGUUAUCUCCCCGACGAGGCCUCAUCAGUUCCGCUCGACCGGAGAACACCGCCGCCGCCGACACGCGAAGAGGGAGAUCGUGUGCUGCAUGUGCCUGCAGCGGUGUCAGCGGUGGCCUCACAUCGCGCUCGCGAUAGUGCUCAUGGUGACCUCGCGCUGGUGUUGCGAGGCAGCAAGACCGAUCUCUCCCUGAUGGCGUCCUCGGAUACUCCAAUCUAUUAUCAUUAGAUUAAUUUCUAAUCAGAUUAAUUUGCUCUGUUGUGCUUUCUCUGUUUUUGCAUGUACUGACGACGAGACGGGCGGCAUCCAUCUGAGGUCAUCUCUGCCACGUAUUAAUCCAUGCAUGUGUUGCUGGAUUAAUGCCGGCCAAAUCUCCAGUCAAUCAUGCUAUUGGCAAACGAACCAACAUGCAUACUGCAUAUAUGCACCGACACGUGCAUUAUACCUACAGAGCAUUAAUCUCUAAUUUCUAAUUAGAUUUAUUUAUAAUCGCAACUUAACUGAAGCUUGUGUUGGCUAUUUUGUUCGCAUGUUUGGAGAUUCCACACGCCGGGGGGCUGCGGACCAGUGCCGCCUUUGCGUGCCUAACGCGGCCCGACUGCUCCUAGGGCAAGCACGACCUGGAUGUGACGCCGCACGUCGGGCGCUUCGGUCUUCACCCGGCCAACACAGCCCGACUACGCUGCUUCCGCCGCGGGCUCGGGAGUUUCGCCUUUGUGCGCCGCCGCCUCAUCCGCUGCCAACUGAUGUUUCCGCCUGCACGGUUGGCCUAUUAUGCCAUCGUCCAUGGGCGUCCACAUCUUCACCGACCGGCUGGCAUUUGUCACCGCCGACUGGUGUUCUCACCUACACGGUUGGUUGGUCACACCACUGUUCAUGGGCGUCCACGUCUUCACCGACCGGCUUGCCUUCACCGCCGUCGACUGGUGUCUCCGCCUACACGGCUGGCCUAUUAUGCCGCCGUUGUUGGGCGUCUACGACUUCACCGCUGGCCUGCCUCCUUCGCCGCCGACUGGUGUCCUCGCCUAUACGGUUGGUUGGUCACACCACCGUUCAUAGGCGUCCACGUCUUCACCGACCGGCUUGCCUUUGCCGCCGCCGACUGGUGUCUCUGCCAACACGGCUGGCCUAUUAUGCCGCUGUUGGUGGGGAUCUUCGCUUUCACCGUCAACCGCCUUCGUUGCCGCCUACUGGUGUCUUCAUUGUUAUUGAUGGACGACUUUGUUCCCACGCUGGUCACCUCUGCCAUCAUCAAGCGGAAUAUUACGAAGCUAUGUCAUCAUUAAUUUUCUUUAUAUGAUAUUUUUCUUUUCCUCUGCCUCACUACGUCAACUGGUUCGCCGUUGACUAGUGAGUCGGGGGCUACAGAUGUUAUAUCAUAUUUUUUAAACAAUUUUCAUAAUAUUUAUCUUGAUUGCUUGCGACAUAUUCUGAGUACAAAAGUGCCUAUCGAGUUAUGGAGUUCCAUCUUCCUAUGCUUUUCGUUUGGUUUGCCAAUAGAUAGUUGCCUUUGGGCCGAUUCCUAGCACCCGGGGGCUUGGUGGAUGGACCGAAUAACGCAAGGUGCUAAGUAUUAUUCGGAAUAAAUCAAAAGCAUAGAGAUAAGAUAAUUUAUUUUCUGCUCUUAAUAAUUGCAAAAGUACCCGAGUAGUAAACUCCGAUCCGUGAAACUUUGUUCCAUUAAUGACGAACUCAUGUCACUCAUAUGCAUGUUUGGGAAGUGCUUAGGCCGACUCCCGGUGCUUGGUGGCUAUGACUAGUCGGGCAGAGUGUUUAAACGUAAUGAGUCAUCUGCUCGGGGAAAUCAAAAUUGACAAGAGAAGAAAUACAUAUUUAUAAAUAUUUUAAAAUACUUGAAUUUUUCUUGAGUAUUAUAUUUAUAUCAGAUACUACUCAUCCUAUAUGUUUGUUCUACAGGAUCCAGAUAUAGAUAUGCAUAAAAGGGAUUCAUGGCUUUAAGCUUAUCUCUUACGAUCCAGGAAUGGAUCAGUCAGAACAUCACCACAGGCUUGCUUUCGCCGCCGCCGACUGGUGUCACCGCCUGCACGGCUGGCCUAUUAUGCCGCUGUUGUUCGGUGUCAACGUCUUCACCGACCGGUCGUCUCGUCCACCGCCGACUGGUGUCACCGCCUCAACGGCUGGCUUAUUAUGCCGCCGUUGUUGGGCGUCUACGUCUUCACCGACCGGCCGCCUCAUCCGCCGCCGACUGGUGUCUCCGCCUAAACGGCUGGAAUAUUAUGCCGCCGUUGUUGGGCGUCUACGUCUUCACCGACCGGCCGCCUCGUCCGCCGCCGACUUGUGUUUCCACCUGCACAGCUGGCAUAUUAUGCCGCCGUUGUUGGGCGUCUACGUCUUCACCGACCGGCCGCCUCGUCCGCCGCCGACUGGUGUUUCCGUCUACACGGUUGGCCUAUUAUGCUGCUGUUGUUGGGCGUCAACGUCUUCACCGACCGACCGCCUCGUCCACCGCCGACUGGUGUCACCGCAUGCACGGCUGGCUUAUUAUGCCGCCGUUGUUGGGCGUCUACGUCUUCACCGACCGGCCGCCUCGUCCGCCGCCGACUGGUGUCUCCGUCUACACGGCUGGCAUAUUAUGCCGCCGUUGUUGGGCGUCUACGUCUUCACUGACUGGCCGCCUCGUCCGCCGCCGACUGGUGUUUCCGUCUACACGGUUGGCUUAUUAUGCCGCUGUUGUUGGGCGUCUACGUCUUCACCGAUUGGUCUCCUCGUCCGCCGCCGACUGGUGUCUCCGCCUAUACGGCUGGCAUAUUAUGCCGCCGUUGUUGGGCGUUUACGUCUUCACCAACCGGCCGCCUCGUCCGCCGCCGACUGGUGUUUCCGCCUGCACAGCUGGCCUAUUAUGCCGCCGUUGUUGGGUGUCUACAUCUUCACCGACCAGCUGCCUCGUCCGCCGCCGACUGGUGUCUCCGCGUACACAGCUGGCAUAUUAUGCCGCUGUUGUUGGGCAUCUACGUCUUCACCGACCGGCCGCCUCGUCCGCCGCCGAUUGGUGUUUCCGCCUACACGGCUAGCAUAUUAUGCCGCUGUUGUUGGGCGUCUACGUCUUCACCGACCGGCCGCCUCGUUCGCCGCCGACUGGUGUUUCCGCCUGCACAGCUGGCCUAUUAUGCUGCCGUUGUUGGGCGUCUACGUCUUCACCGAUCAGCCGCCUUGUCCGCCUCCAACUGGUGUUUCCGUCUACACGGCUGGCUUAUUAUGCCGCCGUUGUUGAACGCGUACAUCUUCACCGACCGGCCGCCUCAUAUGACGCCAACUGGUGCUAUCGUCUUCACGGCUGGCCACGUUGCCACCACGACUAAUAGGCGUCAUCAUCUUCAACACAAGCUGUCUACAUCUGCUGCCGACUGGUUUCUUCACUUCCAUGGCUGCAUUAUUCUGCCACUUUUGAUUGGCCUUAUCGUCUUCACCGCCGGUCGUCUCGUCUGCUAUUGACUGGUGUCCUUGCCUCUACGUCUGGUUUAUACCGCUACCACUAUUGAUGGACAUCAUCGUCUUCCGCCGCCGACUGGUGCUUUUAUCUUCACAAUUGCGCGUCUUCGCUACCGGUUUGCUUCUGUUGCUGCUGACUCGUGUUCACUUCAUCAUGGCUAUGCAACUUUGUCACCAUGGUAGAGCGGCUUCAUCUUUAUUAUCUUCGGCACCGGCAAACUCUAUUGCCUCUACUUCGCAAGCUUUGCUACUUCACCAACCACGACGUCUUUGUGAACCUCAACAUCUCGGCAUGCGAUGCCGUGUUAUUUUACUACAACAAGUGGCUCUCCAAUAUUCAGGAGAGCCAUUAUCUUCAAUCAAGCAAUGACUACUCGACGACAAGAAGCUAUAAUUCUCGACUCUAUGUUCAGUUGUUUCCCAACUAACCGAAGAGUCGGGGGCUACACAAAUACAUGGCUCAAAAUUCGACAAGCUUUAUGUCAAGAUGAAGCAAUCAAUUAAUCAGUCAACAAGUCAACUCUGGGAGUCAUCAAUUUUGUCUUCGCUUCAAAGCAGUAGGUCAAGAUUAAAUUUCCAUGUCUGGGAGUUUGGAGUCACUGACAUCAUCACUAGCACCUCUGCUUCAUCGACCCUGACAUCUCCGUUGUUGCUAAUGGAUGAUUAUGUCUUUACCAACUUAUUAUUUCACCUUCACGGUUGACCUACUAUGCAAAUGCUGAUGAGCGUCUUCGUCAUUAUCAUUGGUUGCGACACUGCUAUUGACUGGAUCGCCGAUAUCGUCAUCUUCAUCAUGUCAGUUGCGUUUGUCGUCGCCGACUCUUUUCUUCAUCUUCAGGAUUGGUGGAUUUCGUCAUAGCCUUUGAUUUGCCUCGUCUGUCACCGAUUGAUUAUUUCGCUGCCAUGACUACACAACUUUAUCACUGGGCGCUUUCAUCUUCAUUGAUGGCUGACCUGACUACUGUCGACUGGUUUCUUCGUCUCCAUGGCUAUGCAACUUCAUCACUUUUGAUUGCUACCAUCAAUGGACCAUUGUGACUACAGAAGGACAGGCUAUAUGAUCAGGGGCUUACUAGUUCAAACACAAGUAUCAUACCUUCAAUUUGGACUUGUUCCGGAUACAUGCAACAUGAAUUCAUGAUCAUGGAUUUAUUUUCUAUGCUCAAAGACUGGACUAUUUAUUAUUCCCCGUAAGGGUUAUCAACCAAAUACUUGCGCCAGUCGGGAUUCAAUCUUUAUAUCUAUUUUGGAGUAUCCCAUAAGGGAUAAUCACUCAGAUCAGAAGCUAUUCAUAUGAGCUACACUUGGUAUAUAUUACCCGGAAGAUUUAUUACUCGGGAGCAUGUUACAUGCGUCAUCCUUUAAAGGGUGUCGAAGGCAUAUUUUUUGGCCUAGGCCUAAUAUGUCUGCAGUCCAUAUUUUCAGGUGUGGCCUGUCACGUUCUUUUUGCUUAGGCCAAAGUGCGCGUGAUCAAGUGCUCAAUACCUUAAAAUCCUUUUAUACCGCAGUUACUCAACUUUUUAGGAGUUGGUACAAUGCAUUUUAAAAGGUGCCAAACAGUAAUGCUUUAUAUAGCUGCCCGCUGACUUUUUUAUAUAAGUCAAGGCGCUGUUUGGAUUCAUAAAGCAAUUGAUUGGAUACAAUAUCAUUGCUUUUUGCCACGUAAGUGUGCACUUUUAUUGACCAAUAUUAUGGCUUAGGCUCAUUAUAUAUUUUGGUCAUUUUCCAGGCGGUUGGUAAAUCCUUUAUGAGUUUAUUUACUCGGAUUUUACACCACAUAUGCCAUAUAUUUCCAGGUGUGGUGAAACCAUGUGUCUUUUAGGGACUUAAGCACAUCUGUUAAAGCAGUGUGCGCAUGGCGUAUGCCCAAUACUUUGGAAAUUUCUUUAUUCACAACAUACAAGCUUCUUUAUAGCUGUUUUGCUAUGUGAAUUUUCAAUGAUGUGGCCAACCUUAGAUUACACUCAUCAUAUUUUACAAAGUAGUCGGUAUAUCACUCGGAUCAUGUUAUUCAGGGAUUCACACCGCAUAUGCUACAUAUUAAUAUCAAGUCGCUUGGUUGACCAUAAUUAUUGAAACCACUUGGUUGGUUGGAUUAUUUAUUCCUUGACUAUAUACUUGGUUUGUUCAGUUAACCACAUAAUCGGGGGCUACACCUAUUAGGUGCAUCUAGUCGAUGCACCUGACUUUAUUUUUCAGCCCUCCACAGUCUUCAGAUUUGGUAAAAGUACUCGGGAGAUCAUGGCAAAGAUGAUUGAAGCACUCGGCUUUGGAGUAAUCUAGUUCGAGAGAAGAUUAUCUUUUCGACUGUGAAGGUCUCAGGGGCUACUGUGGAGAUUAUGGGUACCCCAUACCCACACGGCAUGGUUAUCCUACUAGUUAUAGGGGAUAACUUAUAUAUAUGGAACAUGUAACAGAUCAUGACUUGGGUGUUACGUUUCCUUGUAUCUUACGGAAUGGCCCAAAGUCCUGGUUUGAUAAUAUUGUAAAGUAGAUUUAGGAAACCGAUACCGUAUUGAUUAAGGUUUCUAUCUUGUAAUCCUGCCCCUCAUCCUAUAUAAGGUGGGCAGGAGGCCCUCUAGGGGGCAUAUGAGACAACUAGAUCGUCAGAUCUAUACUACACUCGGCGGAUUCAAAUCCCCAAACAGGAGUAGGGUAUUACCUCUCAUUGGGAGGGCCUGAACCUGUCUAAAUCCUUGUCUCCGCAUCCAUCCACUUUUAGGUCUCGUGCGCUACCCUCUUUUAUUAUUGCCGAAUUUAUGUUUCGACAGAGAAGAAAGGAAAAAGAGAGGGACGGAAGAGAGACUUCAGCCGCGGGCCGAGGGAGAGAGGAAAACUUUGGGCCAGACUUGGCCCAAAGGGAAAAGGAGGAUUAAUUUUUAGUUUUUCUUUUUAAUAAAUUUUGAUAAUUGUUUUUGUUGCUUAAUAAUUAUUCCCGGUGUUCUGAAAAUUCAAGUUAAAUUUGAGGGCUCCUUUUAGACCAAGGAGAAUUUAAAAAAAAUUCUCUAGGCCACAUUCGAAUUUUUCUUGUACGCAUUUUAACGUUUGCCAAAUUCUAUUUGAAUUUUAAUUAAUUCUAUUAUUCCUUUUAGAAAAUGAAUUUUAUUUCAGGAUGAAUUUAUCACGGGCGUGACAAAUCCACCCCCCUUACAGGAAUCUCGCCCCCGAGAUUCGAGAAGACUAGCAAGAAGAUAGGUUGGGCGGUCUUCUCUUCUGGUCUGACUUCUUCCGUUGCGUCUUCUUUAACAAACUUGCCCAGCAAAACUUCCCCACUCUGAACUGCUUGGCUUGAUCUCCUGUUGCAGAUGGAAUCUUCUUUUCACCUGACUUAUCCUUGGUUGCACCUUGAGCUGACUUCGACUGGGGUGCGGUACUUGAAGACGGGGUUUCAGUUCGAGGACUUCUCAUAAUUCAUACCCUUGGUGUCAAUCUCAUACAAGUUACCAAUUUCACGUUGUGCGUCGAUACCAACUUGUCAUUACUAGGAUACCAUGCUUGUCAUCAUGAGAAUACCAUGCUUGGCGUUUCCUUCCAGCUUACCACCAAAUGCUUUAGACUAUCAUAUCCCGCUUACCAAGGAUACCAUGAUUGACAACUUGCCACUAACUGUCUCAUAUUAGCUUUUCUGGUCUCUGGGUGCUAGAUACUUCUGCUAUUCACUGCAAGGGUCGAUCACUCUAACUUUGAAUUAUGCUUCCCAAGAGAACCAACUUAUCCCACUUGACAUGCUUUGACGUCUUCCCAAAUGACUUUACUGCUAGACUUGUUAUUGUCUGAUCGUUAUCCUGCCAAGUCUGAAGCUUUUUUAUUGGAUGUGAUUUUAAUCUGACCUCUGUAGAUUAUCCUUGAACAUAUCACUUGGUUCAUAACUGGGAAUGGCUCUCAUGAACAAGAAACUCGGAUCCACUUUCUUUACAUUCGGUUUACUUUCCACUAUUCUCUUCAUGUUGUCAUCAUUUAGCAUUCAACGUAUUCUUUCACACCUUCAACCUUGAUGUGUUCUUUCCCAAUGGAUCGAUUGCUAGGAAAUUGUGUUGAACGAUACUAGUGCAUGUGCUUUUAUUCUAGGUAGCAUCUAAUACAGAGCCGAAGGUUGAACCGAGCUUUAGAUUCCAACUGUUCAGGUUAACUUCUUGACUUCUUGGUCAUGUCACAAAGGUUUCCAUCCUUGUCCUCAUGGAAGUACUUCUACCUGUGGUCAUCUUGCUUACUCACGAAUUCAUCUGCCUUAAUGACAUGGUGACUGUUGUAGGGUCGAUUGCUAUUGGGAGUCUUCCUCGAGUGACACAAAUCAUGUUUCUCAUUAUCCUUUACCAAUCACCUUUCGACCUACUUCUUUUCCCAGUAACCAAACAUCUUUUCCGAUCUCUUCCGUUAAUCACCUUUUGACCUUUCUCAACCAAGUACUCUUCACUCCGGAUGUUGUGGGUGCUUCUGGGGCAAUGAGGUCCUUGGGCCUACUGCCUUUCAGAGAAACCUUGAAAUAGUUCGUCAAAAGCUAUACGGACUAUCGUUGCCUUUGAUCCGAAAAAGGACACAUCAGAAACUCUUAGUCCAAACAAAUGUCUCUUUGGUUGAUCACUUGAUUUUCUUCGCCAUCAAUUGCUAGGUUAUUUGAUUCAUAACAGAUUAUGAGCUUACGGAAGUGAGACCCUAGGUCUCCUUAAUCAUCAACAAAAUGUACACAACUCACAACACUUGCAGUCUCAAUAUGGAUCCUUCAUACAUUUGCCAAACUCAUUCAUUAUUUCCCGUUUCUUCCUUAUUACACGGUUGGUAGAGAACAACUAUAAAACAAAAGUACUUGAACAUCGAUACAAGAGUGUUAUGGUUGCUUCUGACUAGCACUAGGCUUGACAGGUACUGCAUUUGCUCCAGUGAACACUUGGCGAUUGGCAUGUCUGCUUCUUGUAAAUUGGCGAAAAUGUGGAGGCCGAUUUUUUUUCCUUGGUUAGGGACAGUCCCUGGAGUAAUGUCGUGGUUCUUUGCAGUUGUAACAAACCAUAACUUUUUUACACUCGAGUUCUCCACCUUGUACUUGAUUUCUUGGCUGUUGUUGAACGUGCUGAUGAAGCCUAGAGGGGGGGUUAAUAGGCUGUCCCUGAAAACUUAAAAACAAAUCGCAGCGUUAAAAUUCAAACAGACCCGGAACAUCGUGGUAAGGAACUCCGGAACUUCCGGCCUGCCAGGCCCAGAACUUCCGGUGUUCUUAGGACAGGAACUUCCGGGUUACAAAACAAGGAUGAAAUUCAUAUUUCGAAUCAGGAGACUAAGCCAAUCUUCACAAGAUGAUGCACAGGUAUUCUAAGUAGAAGAUAGAUCACAGAAACAUCCAAAAAAACAUCACAGAAAGAGACAAGAGCAAUUUUUUUCCUGAAGUUCGAAUCUUGCGAUCCUACUCUCCGUUGAGGAGCUCCAAAGAGCUGGGUCUCGAUUAACCUCUUGCCUCACUUGUGCAAAAACUCCAGAGGAAAUCCACAGCCUUCAACCACAAACACCCCUAGGCAAGUUUCUAGAAUUGAGUGAUCACCAAAAUCCAACUCAAACUACUUCUAGAAAUUCGCCACAAGUGUAGGUUGCUCUACUUGGAAAUCCUCUAGAAUCUCAGCACAAGAACUUCAUUAACUUACCUCGUUCCCUUUUGGAGGAGAGGAGAUCCUUCAUAAACUUACCCGGGACAUCCACAAUAUGCAACGGAUUCUCGUGGGCGACACCUAACCGUCUAGGAGAUCAUCUCCAAGAGUAAUUAGCACCGAGAUGACAGCCCACGAGAUAUUCCAAGUGCUCACCCAAGAUCCUAGUCUUCACACAUCUCCAAAUCUUCUUCUCUCCCUCUCAAUCUCUCUUUCUCACAAGAAUUAGGCUCUAGAUUGAGUGGAGAAGGCAAGAAACACUUGGGAGAGGCUAGCAACAGCUCUAGGUUCAAAAAGUGAAAGUGGAAGGCCAAGGAACGAGCUGGAAACGAGCUGUAUAUGUAUAACGGCUAGGUGACGUCAUCUAGCCGUUACUCACAAAUUUGAACUGGAAACUAGACAGGAAGUUCCGGACCUGGAAGACAGGAAGUUCCGGACUUGCAUUUUUGGACCAAUGGAGCAUUUGCAAAAAUGACUCCUAGGGAAACUUGACACUUGGUUCACACUAAGAGCACUUGAGAUAUCUCAGAGCAUCACCUAGAACCCCUCUUAAUAGUACGGUUUUUUCUAAAAACUCGAUUGCAAAAAAUAAACUAUCCUAUGCACUUCUCGAGUUCCGGUCCGCUUUGAUUUUAUACUUUUGGGGGGUCUCCACGCAUCCAUCUUCCACACCUUGGACUAAUGCACCUGAAAGAUACUCAAUGAACUCAUUAGUCCCUUAACCACAUUUGUCAUUAAUCACCAAAACCCACUAGGGGGAUUAAUGCACUUUCAAUCUCCCCCUUUUUGGUGAUUGAUGACAACAUGGUUAAAGCUUACAAAAGAUUGAUAAUAAUUUUGUUUUGAAUGGUUAGAGGUGAAUGAAACUCCCCCUUAGUGUAUGCAUAUGGAAAAUAUGAGUGAAGCUCAUAUGCAUAUAUAUAACGGAGCAACCGAGGAGAGUUUCCUUCAUCCCUACUCAUUCGUGGGAUGCAAAAAGCAGUAAGAAUAAAUAUGAUAUGCAAAAGAUACGACAUGGUGAGCACUCAAAAGGAUAAAAUCAACAUCACAUCACAAACAACAAAUAAGACACUCAUAGCAUAAAUGAAGAGCAAUAUAAAUAAAGAGCAGCUAAGAGCAUCUAACUGUCAUUACAUCCACACAAAUAGAGAAUUAUUACAUGUCCAUAAGAUCUUAAGAGUAGAGGCCAAAGGAUUGCCAGGUCCGGAACUUCCGGAUAAGAUACCCGGAACUUCCGGACAAGCUGACAUGACAAUAAAGCGAGGGAGCUGCCAUGUUCGGAACUUCCGGAUAAGAGGAUCCGGAACUUCCGGAUAAACAGACAGAGCAGGCAGCAAGCAGCAAAAACAAAAUUUUGACCCCCUUCGAUUGCAAUUUUCUCCCCCUUUGGCAUCAAGGCACCAAAAAGAGACAAUAUCACAAGGGAAGAAGAGGAUCAAGCCUCAUCAUCAUCGCCAUCAGAAGGAAUGAUCUCGGUGUCGCCGGAGUGAGGAGAGUCGAUGUCUUGCCCGGCGGCGUCCACUGCCUCAUCUGGAUCUGUAGGAAUAUUCUCAGUAGGUGCAUCUGACUCCUCAUCAUCGCUGCUCUCCUCGGAGUGAGAGGACUCCUCAUUGAAGAAACGAGAAGUGCCAGAGGGACCCUCACCACUAGCAAUGUCUCAAGCAGUCUCAUAAGCAGCAAAAGGAUCAACAAACUCCUCAUCAUCAGAAAUGUCAGAGUCAUCCUUGCCUGCUGCAAUCCAAUCUUCCUUCUGACGCCUCUCUAUCUUGUUUACCUUCUUAGCUAUCUUGGCACACAUACAAAAGAUAGCCCUGAGAGCCUUCUUUAUGGGAGAAGAAGACUCAGAACGCUGUGGUGCAGCAGAGGAAGAAGGAGCAGCUGAGGUGGAAGCACGAGUGACUCUGGCAGUAGAAGUAGUUGAAGUAGUGGGAGCAUGAGGACAAAAAGGCUUGUGUUGAUUGUCCUUGAAAUAACAAAUCCCAGUCUUGGCCUCAAUCAUCUUCAUGAUAUAUGGAGCAUAGAUGCAACCCCUCUUUGGCUCACACACUGUCUCGUAGAUCUCACUCCAGAUAAGCUUCAUGAUGCUGAAAUCUGGCUUGUUGUAGCGCAUGCGACUGAGGAGGAGCGCAUGCCUACCUGAAAGAGCUGUAGCAUCUCCCACUUUGGGGAGCAAAGACCACCUGAAGAUCGAGUACAACACUCUAUAGUAUGGACGCAACCCUCGAGUAGUCCCCAAACAAUCCUUGGGAGCAUCCUUCUCAUACAUAAAGGUAGUGUUGGUCGGUGACAGAGCAUCCUCUACAAUGAUAUGUGGGCGACUCAGGUCAUCAUCAUCUAACCCCAAAGCUGCAGCAAACUGUGCCAUAGAGACACUAUACUGCUGCCCCUGAAUGGUCCACUUCACAAAAUCAAGCCCCUUCUUGGUGGUGCCAAAGAAAGCAGUGGAGUAGAACUGACCAGUCACUUCCUCAUUCCAGGAAUACUGCAAGGCUAACAAAUCUGCCACGUGCUUGCGCUCACACACCUUGCGCACCUCAUUGAAAACUAAGUUGUUCUUUGAGGACAUGUACUGCCAGUCUAGCCACUUCAUCUCUACCACUGGAUGAGAUCUUCCCAUGAUCACAGAAUUAUACCAAUCAACCUGCACCAAGGUCCUGAAUCUGUCAUCCUGAGAGUUAGCAGGCAAAGUAUCAGGACUCAUCAUUGUCCUUUCCACACUUGAGCAGAUUUUUCAGAUAGUUCACUCUUGGGCGUCUAGGAUCAGGAUCAACAACCCUUGUCUUGUAAAGUCUCAAGGGAUUGCUUUCAGAACCAGGCUCAUCCUCAUUGCCACCAUUAUCUGACUCUGAUGCAGCUGGAGAGGGAGAGCGGGGAGCAUCACGAAUGACAAUGCUACCAUCCCUCCUGAAAUGGAUCGGAAUCUGACUCCCACUGUAAAAAUCUCCAACGUUUUCUUUGCCCAAUCUCCCCCUAGGACCAUGAACUGGGGGGCUCGAGUCAGCAGGAACAUCUUGUGAAAGCUUCUGUCUCUUCUCACGAGGCAUAAUGACCACUGCAACAAGAAUCAACAAGGUUGGAGUGCAAUGGUUAAAAGAAACAGUAGCAGAAUCAAGGUUACUGGCUGGCUAGACAGAGACCGGAAGUUCCGGGCCAAGAACACUGGAACUUCCGGCCUACAAAACUGAAGAACAGAGGAUUUAACCAGGCCAGUGCAUGUGACAAAAUCCUAUAGAUCGGCAAUCUACAAGGUAGCAGGAACAAUUCUAUCCAAAAGGUUUUCUCCCUAGGUUCACAUAUUUAGAGAUCGGGGCAAAAACAUGAUGAACCAAAAGAGAAGAUCAAAAGUGCUACCUAGAGAGGAGAAAUCGCAAAUCGAUCGCGGGAUGAACCUCCUAGCCACCAAUGUAGUUGAUUCCACGGAGAGGAAUCAAAUUUCCACGGUUUGAAUAGAAAAUCGCCGAGAGGAGCACUGUAGCGGCGGCUAGGGUUUGGGAAUCAGGGAGGAGAAGAAGUGAGGAGAGAGAGAACAGGCUCGGGCUCCCCCGGGUAUUUAUACCCCCGACCCCCGGAAGUUCUGGACUGGGAUGACCGGAACUUCCGGCCUGACAGAACAGAGGGCAGUCAGGCCCAAGUUCAAAGGAAUAGAUGAGAAUUCAAUGAUUUAGAAAUAAAAACCUAUGAAUAUAUAGAGACUUAUGAUGCAUAUGACCAGCCAACAAUCAACAUUACAUAAGAAUGGUCAAUAUACAUCACAAGAAGGGAUAAAAACCAAAUUUUCUCAAUAAAAACACACACAAAAAAUUUUGCAAAAUUUCACAAAAGGGUUUUUGGAUAAUAGAGGGAAUGUUUGAGCUUUAUUCCUAGUAUCAAGACCAUCUUCUACACAAGAAGUGAUCUCAAGACACAAAAGCUCUUUUUUUUUUAAUUUACAUUUUAGUGACACAUGUUUGGCUAUGAAUUAGCCAACCACCCAUCAGCUAAUGUUACGAGAGUCUAAGAUAUUGAGCUCACCCCUAAGCUCGCAAAAUCUUUUCUCAUCUAAAGGCUUGGUGAAAAUGUCGGCUAAUUGGGUCUUGGUUCUCACAUGGUAAGACAUAUGUCUCAUUUAGUCUCGUGAUCUCUCAAAAAGUGGUGGCGAAUAUCUAUGUGCUUGUUUCUUGAGCGUUGGGCGGGAUUAUUGGCUAUUUUGAUGGCACUCUCAUUGUCACAUAGGAGUGGGAUCUUGGUAAAGUUGUAGCCAAAGUAUUUUAGGGUUUGUUUCAUCCAAAGGAGUUGGGCACAACAAGAAUCGGCGGCGAUAUAUUUGGCUUCGGCGGUGGAUAAAGCAAUGGAAUUUUGCUUCUUGGAGAACCAAGAAACAAGGGACCGCCCAAGAAAUUGACAAGUCCCGAUUGUACUUUUUCUAUGAACCUUACACCCGGCAUAAUCCGAAUCGGAAUAGCCCAAAAGCUCAAAGUCACAACCCUUAGGAUACCACAAGCCAAGAUUAGGAGUGUGAACUAAAUAUCUUAGAAUUCUCUUGACGGCAAUCAAAUGGCACUCUUUAGGCUCCGCUUGAAAACGGGCACACAUACACACACUAAGCAUGAUGUCGGGAUGUCACGUCCUGAUAAAUUCAUCCCGAAAUAAAAAUCAUUUUCUAAAAGGAAUAAUAGAAUUAAUUAAAAUUUGAAAAGAAAUUGGCAAACACUAAAAUACGUACAAGAAAAAUUCAAAUGUGGCCCGGAGAAUUUUUGUUAAAUUCUCCUUGGUCUAAAAAGAGCCCUCAAAUUUUAGUGGAAUUUUCAGAGCACAAAUAAUAAUUAUUAAGAAAUAAACAAAGUUAAAAUGAGUUUAUAAAAAGAAAAACCCUAAAAAGUCUUUUCCCCCCCCUUCCCCUCUUGGGCCGGCUCGGCCCACCUCCCUCCCUCUCUCUCCUCUCCCCCGCGGCCCAAUCGGCCUCCUCCCCGCGCGCGUGCCGCUGACGGGCGGGCCCGCCCGCCACCCUCGCUGACGGGUGGGGCCCACCCGUCAUCCCCUACCUCGCGCCGCGCCCGCCGCCUCGCCCGUGCCCUAGCGCCGCCGCCGCCGCGGAUUCCGCCGCAUCCCGCCGCCCCCGCGCGCAAUAAAGAGGGGGAAAUCACUCCCCGUGAUUCCCUCCCUCUUUCCCCCCCACUUUUCCCUAUCUCUCUCUCUCUCUCGGAUUCGUUUGGAAAUCCUCCCGCAAACUUCGCCGGCGUCAUUGAUGGAGCCGAGAUCGCCCGCGCCGGCCUCUCCUUCCUCCUCGUCGACGUCUCCUCCGGCAGCCCCUUCCGCCGCGCCCGUGCAUCAGCCGGCGCUGCCGUCCCCUCCCUCGGCGUCGCCGCAUCGCCCUCCACCCCGGCUGCUCCUCGGUUUCGCCGGAACGCCGUCGCAGCGCCGGCCUCUCCAUCCUCUUCGUCGCCAGCGUCCUUUCGGCCGCCCCUUCCUCCUCCCCGGCUCGUCGGCUUGCUGCACCUCUACCAUCUUCGGCAUCGCAGCCGCGACGUCGUCCUCGGCCUCGCCUCCCCUCCGACCGAACACCGCCGGUGUCCGUCGUCGUCUUCACCGUUCAUCCUCGCCGGCUCGCCGUCUCGCGGCGCCGCCUCCGUCGUCGGCAUCGCAGCGGUGUGUUCCACGCCAUCCUCGCCUCCGUGCAGCCGCUGCCGGCUGCCCUCGUCGUCUCCUCGCCGGCCCCGGUCGUCGUCGUCGUCGUCCUCUCGUCGUUCCCGGUCGUUGUGGCGUUCGUCCCUCCGUCAAGCCGUUCUCGUCCGCCGCCCGCGUUUCGUCAAGUGUGCAGCAGCCCCGUCGUCGUCUUCGUCCUCGCCUCCGCGUCGUCAAGCCUCGUGCCGGCCCUGUCUCGCCUUCGUCCCAGGAUCGCCGCCGAAGUCAUUCCCUCGCCGUCCGCCACGCCUGUUCGUCGUUGUUGUUCCCACGCCUCGUCGCGUGGUGGUAAGGAUCCGUCCUCUCGCUGCCCUGUCCUCGUCCUUUUGGUGUCGCCCCGUACCCGUUGUGCGGUCGUCGACCCCGGUACCCGUGUACCGGUGUCGGUAGUCGUUCACGUGUGCGGGUGGUGACCGUGUAGUGUCCGUGUUAGUGUGUUCGCUCGGUAGCCGCGUGGUUUCCACGUGUGCAGCCCGCGUGGUGUCUUGUGGAGUCCGUUUGUCGGCUACUCGCCUCGGUUGACACACGGGGUCCGCUUCCGUCGACCUGUGGACCGUCUCUGUGUACCUGGUCUACCGCGGUCCUUUAGGUUGACAUGUGGGGUCCGCAUGUCAACAGCGCAGCCUUCCUGUCUUUUCCAGGCUAGCGCUUCGACAUGUUUUAUUGUUGCAAAGCUUAAUUAUAAUAAUCCGCAAAUCUCCAUAUAACAGCACUAAACUUCGGAUGAUCAUAUCUUGGUCAUACGAACUCCGAAUCGACCCGUUCAAGUCUCUUAAUGUUUGUUAUAACCUAAAGAACCCUGUGCUUUCUUUUUAUGUAUUGUUAUUGCUUCUUUAUAGGCUUGUAGCUUUGCUUGUGUGCUUCGCGUAGUCUUCGUCGUUCCGGAGGUUCCCGAAGCGUGGUUUUCGGUCGUCGCCGAAGGUUCGGAAGGCCGUUCUCUCUGAGCAAGGCAAGUCACAUCAUCCUUGAACAUAUUGAAUCCCAGUUUAUAAAAUUAUUUUGAUUUAAAUUAUUGCAUUAUCGCUUUAUUUAAAUUCCCGCGUUAUCACUGUUUUAUUUAGCCAUGCCUAUUUACCUUUGUUAUGACCUUAUUAUUAUUGCUAUUGUUAUUAUUACCUUGUUCACCCUAGGAAAACAAUACCCCAACUAGUGGGUACUCUAUUCAUGGUUCCACUAGUAUGAAUUUAGGUAGAUGCUUCGCUGAUUAAAUAGGACAACAUUAGGUGGUUUUUAUAACUUUAGACUUUGGGAAUUCUCAUAUCAUUUGGACACUAUGGAAUGGUUGGCUUAUGGUGGAAUUGGACAUACACCUCUCUUCCUCUUUCAAAACCCCUAAAACCUGUUUUCCGGUGGGGUUUGGGUGCAUGCCAGUUGUGGGAAGUAGCACCCCGGCCACUAUAAGAAUUAAGCUCGGGCCUCUGUUGCAAAGCACUACCGUACUUCCACAUGUCUAGUGGGUAAGGCUUAGUUUGUGGCUCAGUCUGGUUAUAAACAAAAGUACACGGAUGGAGAUGGACGAAGUCGGGGGUCGAUGGACAUCUCUAGGACAAAUGAAGGCUACACGAGCUGCGGCCCGGUAGUCGAGAUGUCAUGGCACAGGGCUGGUGUCCUGCUGCUAGGGGCUCAAUCCUGCCUACCUGUCCCGGAGGUUCCGGCCGUAGGUGGGGUUGGGUCGGUACUCUUGUCUAUGGCUAGGAUGGGUUGGAAACUAUGUCACGUCUUCCGUCCGUAUACCAUGGUGGUAUGUGGCACGUGGUUACACGUGAGGAAGAUGUGUCUUGUGGGUAAAGAUGUACACCUCUGAUCAGAGUAUAAUCUAUUCGAAUAGCCGCGCCCUCGGUUAUGGGCAAGCCGAGCAAUGUACCCAAGUCAGUGUUUUAAUUCUUAAAAUUUGCUCAAUAACUAAAAUGUGG
rnacentral:lncRNA from 1 species